CCUACGGGGGGCAGCAGUGAGGAAUAUUGGUCAAUGGCCGGAAGGCUGAACCAGCCAUGCCGCGUGAAGGUCAGUGCCCUAUGGGCGUUAAACUUCUUUUGUGCGGGAGCAAUAAUGGUCACGUGUGGCCAGACGAGAGUACCGUACGAUAAAGCAUCGGCUAACUCCGUGCCAGCAGCCGCGGUAAUACGGGGGAUGCAAGCGUUAUCCGGAUUUAUUGGGUUUAAAGGGUGCGUAGGCUGUGAGGUAAGUCAGCGGUGAAAUGCCCCCGCUCAACGGGGUGAAGUGCCAUUGAUACUGCCGGGCUGGAAUGCGGAUGCCGUGGGAGGAAUGUGUGGUGUAGCGGUGAAAUGCAUAGAUAUCACACAGAACACCGAUUGCGAAGGCAUCUCACGAAGCCGCGAUUGACGCUGAUGCACGAAAGCGUGGGUAGCAAACAGGAUUAGAUACCCCUGUAGUC
rnacentral:rRNA from 1 species